UGGACAUGUAAAUAAAAAUAAAUUUAUUAUGAACCGGAGAUAUACUUGCUUGAACUGUCUUAUUUAUAGCACACAGCAGUGUGUCAGUGUCACAGUAUGCUGCCAUUACAUUUACAUCCAAUAUUAAUGGAUAAUUAAUGCCUAAUAGCUCAAGACACCAGAGUCCAGAUUCCAAUGUCCAUGCAGCAAAAAUAUCCCCUACCUAUCCUUUUCCCCUCCUCCAGCAGCGAAACCAGUGAUGACUGAUGAGUAACAGAGUACUACGAACUACUAAUAAUACAGUAACUAAUACUAAAAUGGAGCAUAAAUCGCGCGGCUAAGCAUGUUCCAUCCGUGGAAUGAACCAGUGAUCGGAAGUUUUCAACUUGCUAAUCGAUCGCAGUUGAUCGGAUCCCUGUCUCCAUGGAUGAGAGCAAGGCGUGGCGGUUUGCCAAUUGCACUGCUCUCGUCGGCGGUGAUUGGCUCACCGGCGGCGGUUAACAAGCGGGAACCACCAAUCUUGGAAGCAAGACUGGUAGGAGAUGAGCAGCAGAACGAGCGCCAGCGCCAGCGCGACGCCCCACGGAGAGGAGCCGUCCCGCCGCUGAUCGUACCAGCCGCCGUGCUCCCCCACCAGCGGCGCCAUGAGCAGCGACGAGAGACCCGCCC
rnacentral:lncRNA from 1 species